AGAGUUUGAUCCUGGCUCAGGAUGAACGCUGGCUACAGGCUUAACACAUGCAAGUCGAGGGGAAACGACGGGGAAGCUUGCUUCCCCGGGCGUCGACCGGCGCACGGGUGAGUAACGCGUAUCCAACCUGCCUCUGACUGAGGGAUAACCCGUCGAAAGUCGGCCUAAUACCUCAUGGCAUCGUCUGCGGGCAUCCAACGACGAUUAAAGAUUUCAUCGGUCAGGGAUGGGGAUGCGUCUGAUUAGCUUGUUGGCGGGGUAACGGCCCACCAAGGCGACGAUCAGUAGGGGUUCUGAGAGGAAGGUCCCCCACAUUGGAACUGAGACACGGUCCAAACUCCUACGGGAGGCAGCAGCUAAGAAUAUUCCGCAAUGGACGGAAGUCUGACGGAGCGACGCCGCGUGGAUGAAGAAGGCUGAAAAGUUGUAAAAUCCUUUUGUUGAUGAAGAAUAAGGGUGAGAGGGAAUGCUUAUCUGAUGACGGUAAUCGACGAAUAAGCCCCGGCUAAUUACGUGCCAGCAGCCGCGGUAACACGUAAGGGGCGAGCGUUGUUCGGAAUUAUUGGGCGUAAAGGGCAUGUAGGCGGUUAUGUAAGCCUGAUGUGAAAUCCUGGGGCUUAACCCUAGAAUAGCAUUGGGUACUGUAUAACUUGAAUUACGGAAGGGAAACUGGAAUUCCAAGUGUAGGGGUGGAAUCUGUAGAUAUUUGGAAGAACACCGGUGGCGAAGGCGGGUUUCUGGCCGAUAAUUGACGCUGAGAUGCGAAAGUGUGGGGAUCGAACAGGAUUAGAUACCCUGGUAGUCCACACCGUAAACGAUGUACACUAGGUGUUGGGGCAAGAGCUUCAGUGCCAAAGCAAACGCGAUAAGUGUACCGCCUGGGGAGUAUGCCCGCAAGGGUGAAACUCAAAGGAAUUGACGGGGGCCCGCACAAGCGGUGGAGCAUGUGGUUUAAUUCGAUGGUACGCGAGGAACCUUACCUGGGUUUGACAUCUAGUGGAAUGCCUUAGAGAUAAGGUAGUGUAGUUUACUACACCGCUAGACAGGUGCUGCAUGGCUGUCGUCAGCUCGUGCCGUGAGGUGUUGGGUUAAGUCCCGCAACGAGCGCAACCCCUACUGCCAGUUACUAACAGGUAAAGCUUGAGGACUCUGGCGGAACUGCCGAUGACAAAUCGGAGGAAGGUGGGGAUGACGUCAAGUCAUCAUGGCCCUUAUGUCCAGGGCUACACACGUGCUACAAUGGUUACUACAAAGCGAAGCGAAACUGUGAGGUGGAGCAAACCGCAAAAAAGUAAUCGUAGUUCGGAUUGAAGUCUGAAACUCGACUUCAUGAAGUUGGAAUCGCUAGUAAUCGCGCAUCAGCACGGCGCGGUGAAUACGUUCCCGGGCCUUUACACACCGCCCGUCAA
rnacentral:rRNA from 1 species